GACGUAGGGGGCGAGCGUUGUCCGGAUUUAUUGGGCGUAAAGAGCGCGUAGGCGGCCCGGAAAGUCGGAUGUGAAAACCCGGGGCUCAACCCCGGGCCUGCAGUCGAUACGGGCAAACUGGAGUGUUGCAGGGGAGACUGGAAUUCCUGGUGUAGCGGUGAAAUGCGCAGAUAUCAGGAGGAACACCGAUGGCGAAGGCAGGUCUCUGGGCCACUACUGACGCUGAGAAGCGAAAGCAUGGGGAGCGAACAGG
rnacentral:rRNA from 1 species